GAUCUCUCAUCGCUUACAAAAAAACUGGCUACAUUAUUGGCGGUCUCUACCCUACUGAGAGUGUCUGAAAUAGCAUCUUUAGACAAACAUACUUUGGAAUUUUCCUCUUCCGGAGCUAAGAUAGCUCUCUCCAAACCAAGAAAGGCUCAAACAAGCGGUCCUUUGCGGUGGGUAUCGAUUGCUAAGUAUGCUAAUAAUCUCAUUUGCCCUGUGGAUUGUCUACGUGCCUACGUUUACUUUACAGACAUUAAUAGGACAGAGGCAAAUCAGCAGCAUUUACUCAUCAGUUUAAUACAACCGUUCGGGUCAGUUUCAGGCAAUACGGUAGCUAGAUGGAUAAAAGAGUAUUUGUCAGAUGCAGGAAUCGACACAUCAAUUUUUUCAGCUCAUUCAACAAGGGGCGCCGCAGCUUCAGAAGCAGCAAGAUCAGGAAUUUCGAUAGAUGCAAUUCUUCGAGCGGGAGAUUGGUCGAACGAAACAACCUUUGCAAAAUACUACAACCGAGAAAUCACGCUUUGAAAUCACCCUUAGGGAAGUACAGAGGAGGUUUUGGAAGACGUGGAGGUGGCCAGCAGUACAACGGGCAGUGAGUUCUUCCGCACCAUUGCCCACAAGCCCAUGCAAGCCAGGAAUUAUCAUUAUUUUCAAGUUUCAGUCGCGCUAUCAUCGCGAGAUCCUUUAGUUUUGUUUUGGUUCCCCCUUUUUUCCCUUGUUUGUUUGCAUAAGAGGGCUUGUACAGUUUGUGCUAUAUCCUU